UAGCAGCACGUAAAUAUUGGCGUUAAGACUCUAAAAGUAUCUCCAGUAUUGACUGUGCUGCUGAA
rnacentral:pre_miRNA from 1 species